rnacentral:rRNA from 1 species
UAGAGUGCGUCGGGGCAGAAGAAUUCCUGGUGUAGCGGUGAAAUGCGUAGAUAUCAGGAAGAACACCGGUGGCGAAAGCGUUCUGCUAGGCCGCAACUGACACUGAGGGACGAAAGCUAGGGGAGCGAAUGGGAUUAGAUACCCCAGUAGUCCUAGCCGUAAACGAUGGAUACUAGGUGUGGCUUGUAUCGACCCGAGCCGUACCGUAGCUAACGCGUUAAGUAUCCCGCCUGGGGAGUACGCACGCAAGUGUGAAACUCAAAGGAAUUGACGGGGGCCCGCACAAGCGGUGGAGUAUGUGGUUUAAUUCGAUGCAACGCGAAGAACCUUACCAAGACUUGACAUCCUGCGAAUCUCGGCGAAAGCUGAGAGUGCCUUAGGGAGCGCAGAGACAGGUGGUGCAUGGCUGUCGUCAGCUCGUGUCGUGAGAUGUUGGGUUAAGUCCCGCAACGAGCGCAACCCUCGUUUUUAGUUGCCAGUAUUAAGUUGGGCACUCUAGAGAGACUGCCGGUGACAAACCGGAGGAAGGUGAGGAUGACGUCAAGUCAGCAUGCCCCUUACGUCUUGGGCUACACACGUACUACAAUGCUACGGACAAAGGGCAGCAAGCUAGUGAUAGCAAGCAAAUCUCGUAAACCGUAGCUCAGUUCAGAUCGAAGGCUGCAACUCGCCUUCGUGAAGGAGGAAUCGCUAGUAAUUGCAGGUCAGCAUACUGCAGUGAAUUCGUUCCCGGGCCUUGUACACACCGCCCGUCACACCAUGGAAGUUGGUCACGCCCGAAGUCAUUACCCCAACCUUUGGGAGGGGGAUGCCUAAGGUAGGACUGGUGACUGGGGUGAAGUCGUAACAAGGUAGCCGUACCGGAAGGUGCGGCUGGAUCGCCUCCUU